rnacentral:lncRNA from 1 species
GUAAAUUUCUAAAUAACAUAGUGUCAUGCUUUUAAAACCAACAUUAAUAACAAUCAUUAUUAUGUUGCAUGAGCAAGUCAUACAUGUAUACUUUAUAUUCCAAAAAGGAAGAAAAUUCAAUAUUAUCAUUGUUACAUUUAUUUUUAUUUUCAGGUUGAGUCUGUUGCAUAUAAGAAAUUUUUGCAAUUGCACAAAUUUACAUUUUGGAGUUUACAUGAUACGCAAUUCGGAGCAUUUUUCCUCGGUAUUAGGAAUACUGUGAAUUUGGAUAUGAAGUAAAAUCUUAGUGAU